GAAGAAGGAGGGAGGCGUGCUUAACACAUGCAAGUCGAACGGAAAGGCCCUGCUUUUGUGGGGUGCUCGAGUGGCGAACGGGUGAGUAACACGUGAGUAACCUGCCCUUGACUUUGGGAUAACUUCAGGAAACUGGGGCUAAUACCGGAUAGGAGCUCCUGCUGCAUGGUGGGGGUUGGAAAGUUUCGGCGGUUGGGGAUGGACUCGCGGCUUAUCAGCUUGUUGGUGGGGUAGUGGCUUACCAAGGCUUUGACGGGUAGCUGGCCUGAGAGGGUGACCGGCCACAUUGGGACUGAGAUACGGCCCAGACUCCUACGGGAGGCAGCAGUGGGGAAUAUUGCACAAUGGGCGGAAGCCUGAUGCAGCAACGCCGCGUGCGGGAUGACGGCCUUCGGGUUGUAAACCGCUUUCGCCUGUGACGAAGCGUGAGUGACGGUAAUGGGUAAAGAAGCACCGGCUAACUACGUG
rnacentral:rRNA from 1 species